GUCCUUGUGGCACAACGGCCCCAGGUGGGUUUCCUAAACCGCAGGUCAGAGGUUCGAAUCCUCUCGGGGAUACCA
rnacentral:tRNA from 1 species